rnacentral:rRNA from 1 species
GAAUUUUAUAUUAUUUAUUUUUUAUUUAUUUUAAUAUUAAAUAUAAAUUAAUAUUUAGUUGGGAGGACUUUUAAAUAUAAAAAACUUUAAGAAUAUUAAUAACUUUAAUUAAAGAUUUUAUAAUAAGAUUAAUAAAUUAUAUUAUAUUAGAUUAAAUUACCUUAGGGAUAACAGCGUUAUAUUUUUAGAAAGAUCAUAUUUAUAGAAAUAAUUGC